GCCUGCAUGAAGUUGGAAUUGCUAGUAAUCGCGGAUCAGCAUGCCGCCGGUGAAUACGUUCCCGGGCCUUGUACACACCGCCCGUCACACCAUGGGAGCCGGUAAUACCCGAAGUCAGUAGCCUAACCGCAAGGGGGGCGCUGCCGAAGGUAGGAUUGGCGACUGGGGUGAAGUCGUAACAAGGUACC
rnacentral:rRNA from 1 species